rnacentral:rRNA from 1 species
CCUGGCGGCAAUAGCGCGGUGGUCCCACCUGACCCCAUGCCGAACUCAGAAGUGAAACGCCGUAGCGCCGAUGGUAGUGUGGGGUCUCCCCA